ACGCUGCGGAGGCCUAACACAUGCAAGUCGAGCGGUAAAAAGAAGCUUGCUUCUCUUGAGAGCGGCGGACGGGUGAGUAAUGCCUAGGAAUCUGCCUAUUAGUGGGGGAUAACAUUCCGAAACGGAUGCUAAUACCGCAUACGUCCUACGGGAGAAAGCAGGGGAUCUUCGGACCUUGCGCUAUCCAAUGAGCCUAAGUCGGAUCAGCUCGUUGGUGAGGUAAUGGCUCACCAAGGCGCACAUCCGUAACUGGUCUGAGAGGAUGAUCCGCCACACUGGAACUGAGACACGGUCCAGACUCCUACGGGAGGCAGCACUGGGGAAUAUUGGACAAUGGGCGAAAGCCUGAUCCAGCCAUGCCGCGUGUGUGAAGAAGCUCUUCGGUUUGUAACGCACUUUAACAUGGGAGGAAGGGUUGUAGAUAAAUACUAUACAAUUUGGACGUUACUGACAGAAUAAGCACCGGCUAACUCUGUGCCAGCAGCCGCGGUAAUACAGAGGGUGCAAGCGUUAAUCGGAAUUACUGGGCGUAAAGCGCGCGUAGGUGGUUUAUUAAGUCGGAUGUGAAAUCCCCGGGCUCAACUUGGGAAUUGCAUUCAAAACUGACUGACUAGAGUAUCGUAGAGGAUGGUGGAAUUUCAUGUGUAGCGGUGAAAUGCGUAGAUAUAUGAAGGAACACCAAUGGCGAAGGCGACCACCUGGACUAAUACUGACACUGAGGU
rnacentral:rRNA from 1 species